UGGGGAAUAUUGCGCAAUGGGCGAAAGCCUGACGCAGCAACGCCGCGUGAGGGAUGACGGCCUUCGGGUUGUAAACCUCUUUCAGCGGGGACGAAAAUGACUGUACCCGCAGAAGAAGCGCCGGCUAACUACGUGCCAGCAGCCGCGGUAAUACGUAGGGCGCAAGCGUUGUCCGGAUUUAUUGGGCGUAAAGAGCUCGUAGGCGGUCUGUCGCGUCGGAUGUGAAAACCCGGAACUCAACUCCGGGCCUGCAUUCGAUACGGGCAGACUUGAGUACUGCAGGGGAGACUGGAAUUCCUGGUGUAGCGGUGGAAUGCGCAGAUAUCAGGAGGAACACCGGUGGCGAAGGCGGGUCUCUGGGCAGAAACUGACGCUGAGGAGCGAAAGCGUGGGGAGCGAACAGG
rnacentral:rRNA from 1 species